rnacentral:rRNA from 1 species
UACGUAGGGUGCGAGCGUUGUCCGGAAUUAUUGGGCGUAAAGGGCUCGUAGGCGGUCUGUCACGUCGGGGAGUGAAAACACGGGGCUUAACCCCGUGCCUGCUUCCGAUACGGGCAGACUAGAGGUAUGCAGGGGAGAACGGAAUUCCUGGUGUAGCGGUGAAAUGCGCAGAUAUCAGGAGGAACACCAAUGGCGAAGGCAGCUCGCUGGGACGGUACUGACGCUGAGGCGCGAAAGCGUGGGGAGCAAACAGG